rnacentral:tRNA from 1 species
UGCGAGAGUGGUGAAAUUGGCAGACACGCUAGACUUAGGAUCUAGUGCCGCAAGGCUUGGGGGUUCAAGUCCCCCCCCUCGCAA